rnacentral:rRNA from 1 species
UAAAGCGCGCGUAGGCGGUUACGUAAGUUGGAUGUGAAAUCCCCGGGCUCAACCUGGGAAUUGCAUUCAAAACUGCGUGGCUAGAGUGUGGGAGAGGAAGGUAGAAUUCCAGGUGUAGCGGUGAAAUGCGUAGAUAUCUGGAGGAAUACCGAUGGCGAAGGCAGCCUUCUGGCCUAACACUGACGCUGAGGUGCGAAAGCAUGGGGAGCAAACAGGAUUAGAUACCCUAG